GGGGAAUAUUGCACAAUGGGCGCAAGCCUGAUGCAGCCAUGCCGCGUGUGUGAAGAAGGCCUUCGGGUUGUAAAGCACUUUCAGCGGGGAGGAAGGCGGUGAGGUUAAUAACCUCAUCGAUUGCCGUUACCCGCAGAAGAAGCACCGGCUAACUCCGUGCCAGCAGCCGCGGUAAUACGGAGGGUGCAAGCGUUAAUCGGAUUUACUGGGCGUAAAGCGCACGCAGGCGGUCUGUCAAGUCGGAUGUGAAAUCCCCGGGCUCAACCUGGGAACUGCAUUCGAAACUGGCAGGCUAGAGU
rnacentral:rRNA from 1 species